CAGCAGCCACGGUAAUACGAAGGGUGCAAGCGUUAAUCGGAAUUACUGGGCGUAAAGCGUGCGUAGGCGGUUUGUUAAGUCUGUUGUGAAAUCCCCGGGCUCAACCUGGGAAUGGCAAUGGAUACUGGCAAGCUAGAGUGUGUCAGAGGAUGGUGGAAUUCCCGGUGUAGCGGUGAAAUGCGUAGAGAUCGGGAGGAACAUCAGUGGCGAAGGCGGCCAUCUGGACCAGUACUGACGCUGAGGCACGAAAGCGUGGGGAGCAAACAGGAUUAGAUACCCCCGUAGUCCCUGUCUCUUAUAA
rnacentral:rRNA from 1 species